GUGCUGACAUUUGAGGCUCUUCUCGACAACAGGGGCACGGCAGAUCUUGUGCUCAGUGGUUCCUGCGCCGCCUGACAGAUCGAGCGAGUGUGAGCGGGCCGGUUCUGAAGAGAGACUUGAGAGACCCGGAGGAGUGUGUGAGAGUGUGUCACCCCCCCCCCCCCACCCCCCAGUUGUCUCUGAGAGGAUAUGGGUCGGUGUGUGCCGCUGUGUGUGCUGUGUGCUCUCCUCGCCGCGUCUCCCCUCAAAGGUAAAGUGUUGCUCUUAUCUACUGGCAUCUAUUGUGGCUUUUAGCAGCACUCAUAAUCUCUGCGCUACAAAGCCAGCACAGCGAAGAACAGACACCUAGAGCAGAUGUGUUACAAUUUGCGGAAACCUCUGGUUAGCUUAUCGGAGAAGUAUGGUUACUAUACUACUGGUUUGUUGUGUUCUCUACAAGAUAUAAGAUAAGACUCAUGAAUACACACACACACACACACACACACACACACACUCAUACACAUACACACCUGAUAGCCAUCUCCAAACAAUCUGAACUGAACUCCAAUUAACAGUAAUAUACAUGUGACAACUUGUGCUACACGCAUUGCUCUCGGUUGGUUUCUGUUUGGCUGGUAUUGUUGCCAUAGGAGACAGUCCAUGUAGAACCCUUUCCAGGCCCGACUGCUACAAGAACAGCACAAAAGCAGACGAGGAUUUUAGAUGUGAGUGGACUUCAGAGGAGGACACGAGAGGACUUUCAUAUACACUUCACCUGAGGAAAGAAACAGAAAAUGAUACUAAAGAUUUUCCUGUUGGUGAGGAGAAGGGCGUUAUUCUGGAACUGGAGCGUGUGAGUACCUGGAUAGACAUUCUCCUGCAUGUCUGGGUGUCUGCUCAAUGGGCCAACAGUAGCUGCUCCUCCACUAUCAGCACAGUACGACUUGACCAGGCAGUUAAAUAUCCAGCGCCUGAGGUAAGAAUGAGAUCGAGAUCCUCUGGACUGCUGUUCCUGGAGUGGGACAAGCCUGAAGACCGCAGGGGGUCCGACUAUGAAGUCAGAUAUAAGGAGACUGGACACCCUAGCAGCACCUGGUCAUGUGUAAGGCUUCAUGUGGUCCUCUUGUCUUUUAACAAUAAAAGUUUUUGUCAGUUUCUGUCUCUUUGUUUUCCUAUUUUUAAUAAUGAUGUUUUUUUUGUGUUUUUUUCGGUCACUCACGGUAAAGAAAAACUUUACAACAGAAGAUGACAAACCAGAUUCCUUAAACAUGAGCGUGGCGAGGGAAGCUGCCUACAAGCUCCAGGCCCGACGCAGGGCUAAGGAGGUCAGAUACGCAGAAUGGAGUGGUUGGAGCUCACCAAUCUACAUGCCUUUACGUGAGUCUGCCCAACAACAAUAAUAAUUUGAAUUUGAAGAGGGCAAAAUAACAUAAUAAUAAUUUGAAUUGUUUAAAAUUCUCAUUUUAAUUUGAAUAACCUUGUUUGAAGAGAACCUUUAAUGCAGCAGAGACCACAGUUUGAUGAGAAAGUACACUGAAUGAUUGUAUUUUAAAAGAUAACAGAAAGAUAAAAGAAAAGAUAACAGAAAGAUAACAUAAGCACUUCCU
rnacentral:lncRNA from 1 species